CUGGUUUGGAGACACAUGCUGAUGUUUAACAAAACAGCAGCAGGAGAACCACUGGCAGGAGAAACAACAGGAAGUUUAGAAAGUUCAGGGCAUUGAAAGACACCGACUGGAACUACAAGCUGUGAGAGGUGUGGAUAAAAGCCAAACAAGACAGGUUGUCAACAGAGAAGACCUACAAUGACAAUCAAGAUGUGGCGCUGGCUGACGAUAACUCUGCUCCUCGUUGUGGUUGUUCUGCUGUUGCUUCACUGGCAGAACAUCAUUACACUCACAGAUGU